GGGUUAUGAUUCGAUUAAGGGUUUUUUUAUCUGAAGGUUGCAGAAAUUGUAGAUAGACUCUAGUUAGAAUAGCCAACAAGCUUAAUUUAAAAUCUGUAAAAUACCAUUCAACUUUGUCAAACGUAUGGUUAAAAAUGUAUAAAGUGUGUAAAAUAAUGUAGAUUACUCCAAAGCAAAUUUGUCAACAUCAUAUCAAAAUCAAUUUUGUAAGCGAACAAAAUACAGUGGAGCGCCGUUUAUCCAGGCUUCUCGAGACUUGACCUCGCCCGGAUAAGCGAAUAACACGGAUAAUGGGUCAAAUAAUAUAUUAUUUCACCAAUUCCUUAUUAUUAUUAUUAUUUUUGUUGAUAAAAAUAACCUAGUUUUUAUAAACUUCUUGUCUUCCAAUGAGAAUAUUUGAAAUUUGCCAUGAAUUACAGUGUUUUUUGUUAUGACAAUGUGCUCUUAUAACCGCUUUUUCAAAUAUCCUCCUCAUAACGCAAUGUCACCUUUAUAUUGAGCUGUCAUUUCUCGGCUGUAUACACGGCGCUAUGAUAAACGGCGCUACCCUGUAUACACCACACAUCGCAAAAUGACUUGGUAACCCUUGCAUAGCUACAGUAGAUCUUCAUUUUAUAAUCAUCAUGAUUUGAUGAUAAUUAGAUAAUUAUCAUCCAAACAUAAUUUUACGCCUAAAUUAGCAUUGAAUCCAGACACUCAAAAAUUGUUGCUUUAGUAAGAAAUAUAAAAAAAAUCACGGUAUAUUAUCUAUAAAAAAAGAUCAUGACCGUUUGUAUGUCUAAUUGUGUGCUAGCUUCAGAUAAGUAUUCCUCUUACAAACAAAAUAUCCAUAUAACUUCUUGUUACACACUUAAAAAUAUUUCACGAGCUCGGUUAAAAAAACUGCCGAAAUCGGUCGGCUCUUUCGAUUCUUGCUGAUAUGUCAGUUGAAAAAACCUAGUAGCUGAAAAUCAGUACCAUUUAAAACUGAAAUAUCAGUUAAAUAAAAAUUUGAACCGAAACUCGGCAACACAACAUGCUGAACACAUACGUUAACACUGCUGUCACCGAGCUAAUCCGUCAAAAUAACCGAGAUUUCAGCUUUACUACUUGGAUUAGCCGAGGCUCGGUAUUCUAUCUGUCAUUCACCAUUCUGUUAAUCUCGUGCUAAUGAAACGAAAACCUGUCGGAGUGAUGUUGUGAUGUAAAAUAAAAAAUGUAAAAAAAGUGAAAAUGAGUCUCUCAGCGUGAAAAAAACGAGAAUCAGUAGCGUGCGAUCGAGCACAGGUAUGGAGCGGGGUUGGGGCUAGGAAACUCCAUCAGCGCACGCAACCGGUGCUCUUCAGAGCGUCGCUCGGAGCAGUCCCUAUUUAAGAAUCAGAUGUGGAAGCUAAUCCGGUUGGUUCAACCGUUCAGACUUCCAGGAUUCAUUUCCGGUCACCUACACGAGAACCGUGCCUGUCCCAGUGCCCGCUCCUUGUCCGGCUCAUUUUCCUGUACCGGUACCACAUCCAAACGCUGUGCCCCAUCCGGCGGUUGAAUCGGCGCCUGUCCCAACGCUUUCCAUCACAUCAAAAAAACCCAUUUGAUACGCAAAUAAAAUCACUAAAAUAAAAAUAAAA